rnacentral:rRNA from 2 species
UUGUCUCAAAGAUUAAGCCAUGCAUGUCUCAGUACAAACCACAAAUAAGGUGAAACCGCGAAAGGCUCAUUAAAUCAGUUAUGGUUCCUUAGAUCGUACCACAUUUACUUGGAUAACUGUGGUAAUUCUAGAGCUAAUACAUGCAAACAGAGCUCCGACCGGAGACGGAAGGAGUGCUUUUAUUAGAUCAAAACUAAUUGUGGCACCUUUGGGCUCCAUAUGCUUCUAUACUAUAUGUAUGUUCUUAUGUCCUAAUGUGUGUUCACACUAAAUACUGGUGAAUCUGAAUAACUUGCUGAUCGCAUGGUCUAGUACCGGCGACGCAUCUUUCAAAUGUCUGCCUUAUCAACUUUCGAUGGUAGGAUCUGCGCCUACCAUGGUUGUAACGGGUAACGGGGAAUCAGGGUUCGAUUCCGGAGAGGGAGCUUGAGAAACGGCUACCACAUCCAAGGAAGGCAGCAGGCGCGCAAAUUACCCACUCCCGGCACGGGGAGGUAGUGACGAAAAAUAACGAUACGGGACUCAUCCGAGGCCCCGUAAUCGGAAUGAGUACACUUUAAAUCCUUUAACGAGGAGCAACUGGAGGGCAAGUCUGGUGCCAGCAGCCGCGGUAAUUCCAGCUCCAGUAGCGUAUAUUAAAGUUGUUGCGGUUAAAAAGCUCGUAGUUGAAUUUGUGUCUCGCGCUGUCGGUUCAUCGCCAGCGUGCGGUGCUAACUGGCACGCCGCGGGACGUCUUGCCGGAAGGACCGGUGCGUAUUGCGCUUCGUGUCGUUCUUAAUAUCCAUGUACUCUAAAUUAUAUUCGUUAAAUAUUUGAUAAUGUAUUCACGACGCAAUUUUUAAUUGUUGCCGUGUUUCAUUGCUUUAUUAUAUACGGUAUAAUAUUGUCUUGGCUCUAUUAUGCUUCGGUCGGCGUUUUACGUACGUAGUCCGACUUUAAUCCUGUCUAGGUGCUCUUAACUGAGUGUCGUGGCGGGCCGGCACGUUUACUUUGAACAAAUUAGAGUGCUUAAAGCAGGCUAUUGUUGCCUGAAUACAGUGUGCAUGGAAUAAUGGAACAGGACCUCGGUUCUAUUUUGUUGGUUUUCGGAAUUUCGAGGUAAUGAUAAAUAGGGACAGAUGGGGGCAUUCGUAUUGCGACGUUAGAGGUGAAAUUCUUGGAUCGUCGCAAGACGAACUUAAGCGAAAGCAUUUGCCAAAGAUGUUUUCAUUAAUCAAGAACGAAAGUCAGAGGUUCGAAGGCGAUCAGAUACCGCCCUAGUUCUGACCAUAAACGAUGCCAGCUAGCGAUCGGCCGACGUUCCUCCGAUGACUCGGUCGGCAGCUUUCGGGAAACCAAAGCCUUUGGGUUCCGGGGGAAGUAUGGUUGCAAAGCUGAAACUUAAAGGAAUUGACGGAAGGGCACCACCAGGAGUGGAGCUUGCGGCUUAAUUUGACUCAACACGGGAAACCUCACCAGGCCCGGACACCGGAAGGAUUGACAGAUUGAGAGCUCUUUCUUGAUUCGGUGGGUGGUGGUGCAUGGCCGUUCUUAGUUGGUGGAGCGAUUUGUCUGGUUAAUUCCGAUAACGAGCGAGACUCUAGCCUACUAACUAGACGUACAUACUCGUUUUUCGAGUGCCCGGUAUUUCGAGGGUCGUUCCUGCUUCCUCUGGCCGUCGUUUGUGCGCGUCUUGUGCUUCGCUAAAGUAACGUUACGUGUUUUGUCCAUGUGGUUCGUGUCGGCGACGAAACUAGUUGCUUGUGGGCGAUCUUUACUACCGGCGUACAAAUAAAUCUUCUUAGAGGGACAGGCGGCUUCUAGCCGCACGAGAUUGAGCAAUAACAGGUCUGUGAUGCCCUUAGAUGUUCUGGGCCGCACGCGCGCUACACUGAAGGAAUCAGCGUGUCCUCCCUGGCCGAGAGGUCCGGGUAAUCCGCUGAAACUCCUUCGUGCUAGGGAUUGGGGCUUGCAAUUAUUCCCCAUGAACGAGGAAUUCCCAGUAAGCGCGAGUCAUAAGCUCGCGUUGAUUACGUCCCUGCCCUUUGUACACACCGCCCGUCGCUACUACCGAUUGAAUGAUUUAGUGAGGUCUUCGGACCGGUACUCGGCCGACGUUUCGACGUCGCCGACGCUGCUGGGAAGAUGACCGAACUUGAUUAUUU